rnacentral:rRNA from 1 species
CCUACGGGUGGCUGCAGUGGGGAAUAUUGCACAAUGGGGGAAACCCUGAUGCAGCGACGCCGCGUGAGUGAAGAAGUAAUUCGUUACGUAAAGCUCUAUCAGCAGGGAAGAAACACUGACCUUACGGUCAGCAGACGGUACCUGAGUAAGAAGCCCCGUCUACCUACGUGCCAGCAGCCGCGGUAAUACGUGGGGGGCAAGCGUUAUCCGGAUUUACUGGGUGUAAAGGGAGCGUAGACGGGUAUGCAAGUCUGGAGUGAAAGCCCAAGGAUCAACCAUGGGAGUGCUUUGGAAACUGUAAAACUUGAGUGCAGGAGAGGUAAGCGGAAUGCGUAGUGUAGCGGUGAAAUGCGUAGAUAUUAGGAGGAACACCGGUGGCGAAGGCGGCUUACUGGACUGUAACUGACGUUGAGGCUCGAAGGCGUGGGGAGCAAACAGGAUUAGAUACCCGUGUAGUC